ensembl:lncRNA
AGAGAGAGAGAGGGAGAGAGAGAGAGAGAGAGAGAGAGACAGACAGACACAGAGAGAGAGAGAGGGAGAGAGAGUGUGUAAAGGAGGGGCGGGAGGAGCAUUGACAGGAGGUGGAGGCGAAGAGGAGGGAGGAGGAGGAAGAGGCUGGGGUGCAGAUAGGAAGAGAGAAAUUGCUGAAAGGAAGCAAAUUUACUGGACGGGAUAAAAGCGAGCCAUGGAAACGCCACCGGGGGAGAACCAGCGGCGGAGUCAGGACAAAAGAGGUACGGCUGCGCCCGCCGAGCGGGGGUCUCCCGGCUCCUUUCACUGCCUCCCUACAGGGCUGGGGGGCUCCAGGCCGGGGGUACACCACACCACGCUGAAAGGAAGAAACAGGGUCGAGCUGCUAGUCAACCCAUCUCCACACCGAGAUGGGUGCUUCUGUGUUUUUCGUGGACAGGUUGUGUUUUGGGGCGUAACUACGGAGAAUGUAACUGGUUGCGUUGUAGGGGAGAUUUGUGUGCGAUACAUUCGAGGUGAGAUCUGUGUGCGUUACAUUCGAGGGGAGAUCUGUGUGCGUUACAUUCUAGGGGAGAUUUAUGUGUGCGUUACAUUCUAGGGGAGAUCUGUGUGUGUGUUACAUUCGAGGUGAGAUCUGUGUGCGUUACAUUCGAGGGGAGAUUUAUGUGUGCAUUACAUUCCCGGUGAGAUCUGUGUAAUGUGGUGACAUUCUCGGUGAGUUGAGUGUGCGUUCUGAUGUGUGCAGCCAGCGAUCCAAUGUGAUUGGUGCAGCUGAUGACCAGCGCGGCACCGAGCCCAUGUCGCGCUCACCAGUGCACGCUCUCGGCGGUGACACACCGGGCGCGUUCCAUUGUGCAGCGCGACGCCUCGCUGCUCGUUAUAAUCUCGUGUUAAGCGUCGGGGCUUUGAAGAGACGCAGCGGCGGUGAUGGUC